rnacentral:rRNA from 1 species
UACGAAGGGUGCAAGCGUUACUCGGAAUUACUGGGCGUAAAGCGUGCGUAGGUGGUUUGUUAAGUCCGUUGUGAAAGCCCUGGGCUCAACCUGGGAAUGGCAGUGGAUACUGGCAAGCUAGAGUGCGGUAGAGGGUAGUGGAAUUCCCGGUGUAGCAGUGAAAUGCGUAGAGAUCGGGAGGAACACCAGUGGCGAAGGCGGCUCUCUGGGACGGUACUGACGCUGAGACGCGAAAGCGUGGGGAGCGAACAGG